AAGUUACCAGACCCACUCACUCCACAGCAGACGACUUUCUCCUGUUCUUCACUUAAAAACUCCCUUCUAGAUUUACGCCGCGUACCGAACCUUCUGGUCUGCAGUGUGGUCAUCUUUCACCUACGUCUGAGCGACAGGGGAUGACCUCCAUAUUUCGGGAGGGCAGGGGAUGACCUCUUAGAUUCAGAAGGGCAGGGAGUGACCUCCAAGUUUCUGAAGGGCAGGGUGUGACCUCCAAGUUUCUGGAUGGCAGGCGAUGACCUCCAAGUUUCAUGUCGUCUUGGAAAUGCUGGAGAAACAGAGAAGACAAGGGCGACAACAUUUUCAUUCACUUGGAGUUGUGCUUCCUGACAAAGAAUACAAAAGCGUCCACGUGUAGAGCCUUGACUCUUUAAAAUAUGAUGUCCAUAACACGGUAGAUGUUAACCUUUCCAUACCAUUAGGACCAGGGAAAUUGAAAUUCGUGUGUUAGAGAAAGAAGAGACACGGGCUUAGAAUAUACACAAACAAAAACAGUUUGAUUCUAUUGGUAUGAAAUAAACCUCUUGGCAUAGUUGCCUUGAUACACUGAGAUAGAAAGCAGGAGAGGGGAAAUGAGGAGAGAGGGAGACAUUGAGAAAGAGAGGAAGAUGGGAAAAGACAUAGAGAGUGGGGGAACAGAAAGAAAGAGAGGGAGACAGAGAAAAAAAGAAGAAUAUGAGGAAAGAGAGACAGAAAGAAAAAAAAAAGAAAGGUGAUUGAAAAAGAGAGGUUGAUUUUAGGGAGAGAUUCAGAUAGUGUGAGAAUAAGAGAAAAAAAAAAGAUUAAAGUGGCAGGAGGGAGAGAGAGAGAGAGAGAGAAACUAAAUAAAAAUAUUUAGAAACUUUAAGUUUAAAAUAUUUAUAAAUAAUUUAAAAUUUAUUCAUUUAUAUUUGUGUGUUUCGAUGCAAUAAAAAUGUGUACUCAAAUAGUGUGUUGUCUUUUUAUCUUGGAUCGUUGCCGCUCCCAGGAUAAAGUGUCCCCUCCCCCCAGUCCUCAAAUGUGCAGUAAGUCUUGAGACACACACUGAAGACACUACUGCAUCUUUGGGGAGGAAAUGAGUUGACCUUUUAUUUUCUUUCGUUUUCGUUGCGCCGUUAAGACCGUAGAGUCCGAACAUUGAGACCACAAAAGUCCCUUUAGUCUACCUUGACCAUAUAGAUUGUCCACUGUCUAGACUAGUUAGCACACCGUCAGUGACCUCUCUCAUUUUGAUAUCUCAGUACAAUCUUAGGGCCAUCUUGUUAGGCACACUCGCGAACGCAUACAAACACACACAUUUGACAAAACACACACACACACACUUAUGCAUGAUGCAUUGAUUUUUUCAUGUAUGUUUUUGUUGUUAAAGUCAGAAUGUUCUAUUGAUUCCAUUGGUUGCCUCCCCAUUAUCAAGAUAAACCAGACGAGACCACGAUCGCCAAUGCCUCGAUAAUCCAAAGCGAUACUGCAAGUCAAUCAACUGAGUCAGAAAACUUGGAGGCGUUCCUAAUUGCAACUGUUGUCAUGGCAUCUGUCGCUGCUUCUUUCACCAUUUCAACAGUAAUAGCCUGUUAUCGAUACCACAGUACAAAAAAGAAAAGGUUGAAAGACAACUAUGAUGAACUGGACACGAGAAUCACUGACCGAGUGUUUUAUCAUAGACCUCAAGUCAAUGCUCAAAACUCCAGCAGUUCCUGUGCCAGUGGCUACCUAGACGUUGUCUCAAGUCGCUCUUCUUCACCACGUGACACCCCAGCAGAAGCCGGAACUGACGCAAACCCUUAUGCUGAGAUAGGCGAAAUGUGCAUGGCGGGAGAAAGUAAAACUGCAGACGAGUGACCUCAUCCUUGUAUUACCACCUUUGUUUUUAAUCCCGUCCUCAGCUUGACCAGAUUGAAUGGCUGUGAUAUAAUUUAAACAACUGGUUGUUACAAUUUUUUUACAAUAAUAAUUAAACGAGUGUAACACUGUCUUGUGUAACAUCGACAAGAGUAACAUAGACAAGCGUAACAUUGAUUAGCGUAAAUUGACUUGGAUAACAUUGCCUAGGGUAACAUUGAUGAGUGUAACAUCGACUAGUGUAACAUUGACUUGAAUAACAUCUACUAGUUUAACAUUGACUAAGGUAACAUUGAUUAGGGUAAGACUAGGGUAAUUUACUAGGGUAACUUUGACUAGUGUAACAUCGACUAGUGUAACAUUGACCAGUGCAACAUAAGGCAAACAUAAUGAUUUGACCAGUAUAACUAUGACCAUCGUCACCUACACAGCAAACCAAUAAUUUUGAAAUGACCACAGGACAUUGACCAGCUUAGCACUACCACGUACUAGUGUCAUGUCCUCUUGACUUCAAAAGUCCUUCAGUUUAAGUGUUGUGCUAACUAAUGUCACAUGUUGACAUAAAUGUCAGUGACAACAUCGUGAAAAGAAAAAACUCCAUGAAAUGUUCAGUGUGAAGCGAUUAUAAGUUUAUAGAUCUAUUUAAAACGUAUUAUAAAUCAUUGUAUAUACAAUUGUUUGACAUUGAUAUGAAUUGGGUUGUUAAAUAUAUAGGUAACUAUUAAAUAUAAUUACACA